rnacentral:tRNA from 1 species
GAGGAUAUAGCUCAACUGGUAAAGUGCAUGCUUAGCAUGCACAAGGUCCUGGGUUCAAUUCCCAGCACCUCCU